ACGAUGUCACAUUGAGAUUUCCAAAAACAGUUGUUUCCUGGUGGGUGCUGCUUCCGAAGGUGCUCACUCACCAUGGCAGGAGCAGAAUCAUGAAGCAAAAUGACAGCAAAGGUGAUGCACAAGGAGAGUGCUUUCUAAAUUAUUUCACCCUCAGAGGAAUCCUCCCUACAUAUUCUUCCAGAAAUCCUGCAAAGUUUCUGCAAACUGGUUCUUAAACUGUGAGAUGACUGGGGUUGGAAGACGAAGAGUGGUCCCAGUAGCUUGGAAUGAUGAGCAAAACUGCUGUUCUUUCCAUCCAUGCUGUUCUGGCUGCAGCGAUGCAUGAGGACAAUGUACUUAUUUCUCCAAGUGAGGGUUCAAAAGCAUUGUUUGCAGAAACUUCUCUAUAUUUAGUCCCAUGAACACUGGAAGGAACUUUUGCAA